rnacentral:misc_RNA from 1 species
AAGUUGUAACAAGGUCUCUGUUGGUGAACUAGCGGAGGGAUUAUUAUAGAGUUGCAAAACUCCUAUCACCAUUGCGAACUUACCUUACAACCGUUGCUUCGGCAGGUGGCCUUAGGCUUCUGUUUUCACAGAUCCUUGGGGCCCUAUAGCCUGAUUGUCAGGUGCCUGCCGGAGGUCAUGCAACUAGACAUUGUUUAUGGCCUGUCAGAAUUUGUACUACCAAUUAGUCAAAACUUUCAACAACGGAUCUCUUGGUUCUG